AGCGAACGCUGGCGGCAGGCCUAACACAUGCAAGUCGAACGAACUCUUCGGAGUUAGUGGCGGACGGGUGAGUAACACGUGGGAACGUGCCUUUAGGUUCGGAAUAACUCAGGGAAACUUGUGCUAAUACCGAAUGUGCCCUUCGGGGGAAAGAUUUAUCGCCUUUAGAGCGGCCCGCGUCUGAUUAGCUAGUUGGUGAGGUAAAGGCUCACCAAGGCGACGAUCAGUAGCUGGUCUGAGAGGAUGAUCAGCCACAUUGGGGCUGAGACACGGCCCAAACUCCUACGGGAGGCAGCAGUGGGGAAUCUUGCGCAAUGGGCGAAAGCCUGACGCAGCCAUGCCGCGUGAAUGAUGAAGGUCUUAGGAUUGUAAAAUUCUUUAACCGGGGACGAUAAUGACGGUACCCGGAGAAGAAGCCCCGGCUAACUUCGUG
rnacentral:rRNA from 1 species